rnacentral:tRNA from 1 species
GCCGGCUUAGCUCAGCAGGUAGAGCACCUGAUUUGUAAUCAGGGGGUCGGGGGUUCGAGCCCCUCAGCCGGCACCG